CAGUGGCGUAACAUAAACUCGCCAGGCCCUCCAUCAAAAAGAGGGGCCUGGCACACACAGCUCCUCCCACAUGCAACCCACUCCCUCACCAUAUUUUUAUUUUAGAGGAAGCUUACGCCUCAGUUUGAGCCUUCCAGUUCCCACUGGUUCUGAGGAGUUAGCCCUCCUAUGUUGGGCAUUUCACUUACUGAAUGGUUGCUUACAGUGAAGGACUAGGCCAGCGGGACUCCGGGUUGUAACUCGGUGGGCCCCGGCCCUCGUGAGCCCCAGCCGGCCCAGACAUGUUUUCCCGAUCGGGCUCCCCCUUUAAAAAAGUCUCUGCUGUGCUUCAGCGCAGGCACUAGUGUGAUGGUGUUCGCGUGGGGGGCGCACACUGUGCAGGCAUUCGCGUAGGUGCAUGCCGCACUAGCAUUCGUACAGGGGGGAGACUGAGAGACCCGAGACGGAGGCGCGCAGAGCCCUCCUUUUACUGGACCUGACCAGAUGAUGAUCUACAAUUUGAUUUUCCGAGGCAUUGAGAAAAUUGAAUUUUGCAAAAAUAUAACAAGACGCCCUGAAGAUUUGAUUCACUAACUCUCGCCUAUUUGGAUCAGGUGCCCUCUAAUCACGCAUUUAUGCGCUUCCCAGCAGAUCACUGGUCUGUUGGAGGGAGAGCGAAGGGUGAAAGUUAUCAUGGAGUGAUCAGACCAUGUUCUAGGUUACUAAUGUAGAUUGCCGUUAGGAUUUGCCGGAGGGCUCGGACUGGAUAUCUAUGUUUAAGAAAGCCUACCUGGUUUUCGGCUUUUGAAGAUAUCAUCUGCAGGAACAAGACUCCACUGUCAUGUUGGGAUAAACUUUAAGAACAACAUUUUUGUUUUCAUCAAGGAACAGGAUGCUUAACGAAGACAUUUUUUCUGGUACACAGCAUGGCUCAGGAAUACCCGGUACCACACCAACAGCUCUUACAAUGCUUUGGAUAGUAGCAUGGUUUGAUGGCUUCAGAGACUGGGGAAAAAAGUGAAAAUGAAUUGUAUUAUAAUAAAUAUGCAUGAGUAAAAUAUAUUGCAGAAUAUUUUAUACUUUGCAGUUCAAUAGUUUACACUAUAUUGGGGGUCUCUAAACAUCGAUAAAUGGUACCAAUGGAUUGUAAAGAA